rnacentral:rRNA from 1 species
GAGUUUGAUCGUGGCUCAGGAUGAACGCUGGCGGCGUGCCUAAUACAUGCAAGUCGAGCGAACGGACGAGAAGCUUGCUUCUCUGAUGUUAGCGGCGGACGGGUGAGUAACACGUGGAUAACCUACCUAUAAGACUGGGAUAACUUCGGGAAACCGGAGCUAAUACCGGAUAAUAUUUUGAACCGCAUGGUUCAAAAGUAAAAGACGGUCUUGCUGUCACUUAUAGAUGGAUCCGCGCUGCAUUAGCUAGUUGUAAGGUAACGGCUUACCAAGGCAACGAUGCAUAGCCGACCUGAGAGGGUGAUCGGCCACACUGGAACUGAGACACGGUCCAGACUCCUACGGGAGGCAGCAGUAGGGAAUCUUCCGCAAUGGGCGAAAGCCUGACGGAGCAACGCCGCGUGAGUGAUGAAGGUCUUCGGAUCGUAAAAACUCUGUUAUUAGGGAAGAACAUAUGUGUAAGUAACUGUGCACAUCUUGACGGUACCUAAUCAGAAAG